CCCUCGCUACAACCUAAGGGGGCCCCCCAAAAUCCAAAAUCCUAAAAUCUACAAAACCCCCCCCAAAAAUUUGGGGGAACACCAAAAAAUCGGGAGGGACCCCCAAAGAAAACAGGAGGGGCCCCAAAAAUCAGAGGGACCCCAAAAAAUACAGGGCGACCCCCAAAAAUCCCCCAAAUUUUCCACCGAGGCCUUGGGACCCCCAAAUUUAUCCUGAGGGAUCAAAUUUGGGUGGAACCCCAAAAAAUUAGAAUUUUUUUUUUUUUUUUUGCCCAAAAUCCCAAAAUUUUGGUCGUUUUGGGGUUUUUUUUGAGCUGGAUUUUAAAUGGGGACGCCAAAAUUUGUCACCAGGGGUGACAAACUUUGGGAUCAUUUCCCAUCACUUUGGGAUAAUUUCCCAUCAUUUUGGGGUCAUUUCACGCAAUUUUGGGGUCGUUCCUCAUUUUGGGGUCACUCCCCAUCACUCCGGGGUGGUCCCCCACCGUUUUGGGGUCAUUUCUCAUCAUUUUGGGGUCGUUCCUGACCGCUUUGGCCUCCUUGCCACCACCCCAGUGGUCACUCCCUCAAUGUCCAGCAGGGUCCAGUGGUCACUCCCCACCACUUUGGGGUCAUUUCCCACCACUUUGGGGUCAUUUCCCACCACUUUGGGGUCAUUUCCCACCAUUUUGGGGUCGUUCUGACCACUUUGGGGGUCACUCUGUGGUCACUCUGGCCACCACCCCAGUGGUCACUCUCUCGAUGUCCAGCAGGGUGUCCAGCGGUCACUCCCCACCACUCUGGGGUCACUUUGGGGGUCACUCUGUGGUCACUUUGGCCUGGUUGCCAUCAGCCCAGUGGUCAGUCCCUCGAUGUCCAGCAGGAGUGACCAGGGGUCACUUUUGGGGUCAUUUCUGACCACUUUGGGCUCGCUGCCAUCACUCUGGGGGUCACUCCCUCGAUGUCCAGCAGGGUCCAGAUGUCCAGUGGUCACUGCCCACCACUCUGGGGUCACUUUGUGCCACUCUGGGGGUCACUCCCCACCACUUUGGUGGUCACUUCAUGGUCACUUUGGUGGUCACUUCAAGGUCACUUUGACCUCCUUGCCACCUCCCAGGCGGUCACCCCCUCAAUGUCCAGUGGUCACUUCGGCCUCCUUGCCACCUCCUCAGUGUCCAGCAGGGAUCAGAUGUCCAGCGGUCACUCCCCACCGCUUUGGUGGUCACUUUUGUGUCACUCUGGCGGUCACUUCGUGGUCACUUCGCCACCACCCCAGUGGUCACACCCCCUCAAUGUCCAGCGGUCACUCCCCACAAUUUUGGGGCCAAUCCCCACCAUUUUGGUGGUCACUUUGAGCCACUUUGUGGGUCACUUCAUGGUCACUCUGGUGGUCACUUCAUGGUCACUCUGGUGGUCACUUUGUGGUCACCUCACCCUCCUUACCAUCACCCCAGUGGUCACCCCCUCAAUGUCCAGCAGGGAUUCAGUGUCCAGCGGUCACUCCCCACCACUUCGAGGGUCACUUUGA
rnacentral:lncRNA from 1 species